GCGAGGGUAGCCAAGUGGUCAACGGCGAAGGACUCAAGAUCCUUUCCUGUAGAGGUUCGUGCGUUCGAAUCGCGCCCCUCGCACCA
rnacentral:tRNA from 1 species